CCUACGGGAGGCAGCAGUAGGGAAUAUUGCUCAAUGGGGGAAACCCUGAAGCAGCAACGCCGCGUGGAGGAUGAAGGUUUUCGGAUUGUAAACUCCUUUUGUCGGGGAGCAAGGCCCGCCACGUGUGGCGGGAAGGAGAGUACCCGAAGAAAAAGCAUCGGCUAACUCCGUGCCAGCAGCCGCGGUAAUACGGCGGAUGCGAGCGUUAUCCGGAUUUAUUGGGUUUAAAGGGUGCGUAGGCGGAAGGUUAAGUCAGCGGUCAGAUGUCGGUGCUCAACACCGGCCUGCCGUGGAAACUGGUCUGCUUGAGUGAGCGAGAAGUAUGCGGAAUUCGUGGUGUAGCGGUGAAAUGCUGAGAUAUCACGAAGAACUCCGAUUGCGAAGGCAGUUCACUGGACUGCAACUGACACUGAGGCUCGAAAGUGUGGGUAUCAAACAGGAUUAGAUACCCCGGUAGUC
rnacentral:rRNA from 1 species